GACGAACGCUGGCGGCGUGCUUAACACAUGCAAGUCGAACGGAAAGGCCCUGCUUGCCGGGUACUCGAGUGGCGAACGGGUGAGUAACACGUGGGUGAUCUGCCCUGCACUUCGGGAUAAGCCUGGGAAACUGGGUCUAAUACCGGAUAGGAGCCAUUAUCAGCGUGAUGGUUGGAAAGUUUUUUCGGUGUAGGAUGAGCUCGCGGCCUAUCAGCUUGUUGGUGGGAUAAUGGCCUACCAAGGCGGCGACGGGUAGCCGGCCUGAGAGGGUGGACGGCCACAUUGGGACUGAGGUACGGCCCAGACUCCUACGGGAGGCAGCAGUGGGGAAUAUUGCACAAUGGGCGCAAGCCUGAUGCAGCGACGCCGCGUGGGGGAUGACGGCCUUCGGGUUGUAAACUCCUUUCGCUAGGGACGAAGCUUUUGUGACGGUACCUAGAGAAGAAGCACCGGCUAACUACGUG
rnacentral:rRNA from 1 species